AAUAUUGGACAAUGGGGGCAACCCUGAUCCAGCCAUGCCGUGUGUGUGAAUAAGGUCUUCUGUUUGUAAAGCACUUUAUGUUGGGAGGAAGGGCUUUAGGCUAAUACCCUGAAGUUUUGACGUUACCAACAGAAUACGCACCGGCUAACUCUGUGCUAGCAGCCGCGGUAAUACAGAGGUUGCAUGCGUUAAUCGGAAUUACUUGGCGUAAAGAGCGCGUAGGUGGUUCAGUAAGAUGGGUGUGAAAUCCCCGGGCUUAACCUGGGAACUGCUUUCAUAACUGCUGAGCUAGAGUACGGUAGAGGGUAGUGGAAUUUCCUGUGUAGCGGUGAAAUGCGUAGAUAUAGGAAGGAACACCAGUGGCGAAGGCGACUACCUGGACUGAUACUGACACUGAGGUGCGAAAGCGUGGGGAGCAAAC
rnacentral:rRNA from 1 species